GACGAACGCUGGCGGCGUGCUUAACACAUGCAAGUCGAACGGAAAGGCCCUGCUUUUGUGGGGUGCUCGAGUGGCGAACGGGUGAGUAACACGUGAGUAACCUGCCCUUGACUUUGGGAUAACUUCAGGAAACUGGGGCUAAUACCGGAUAGGAGCUCCUGCUGCAUGGUGGGGGUUGGAAAGUUUCGGCGGUUGGGGAUGGACUCGCGGCUUAUCAGCUUGUUGGUGGGGUAGUGGCUUACCAAGGCUUUGACGGGUAGCCGGCCUGAGAGGGUGACCGGCCACAUGGGGACUGAGAUACGGCCCAGACUCCUACGGGAGGCAGCGGUGGGGAAUAUUGCACAGUGGGCGGAAGCCUGAUGCAGCAACGCCGCGUGCGGGAUGACGGCCUUCGGGUUGUAAACCGCUUUCGCCUGUGACGAAGCGUGAGUGACGGUAAUGGGUAAAGAAGCACCGGCUAACUACGUG
rnacentral:rRNA from 1 species